GCAAUCCUGAUGUGUUCGUUCAAUCAAAUCGUUUUGACCGAACAAUUUGAUACUCGGGAGCCUGCGUGUUUUCAGAUGGCAUGCACGCCUCCACACAGGAGGAAGCACAAAGUCUGAAGCAGGGCACCCACCUGCCUGGAGCGGGAUCAAAACUUAAUUUGAACGGCACAAUUGGGAUUGCG
rnacentral:other from 1 species